GAUGAACGCUGGCGGCGUGCCUAAUACAUGCAAGUCGAGCGAAGGGUCGCGAAGCUUGCUUCUCUGAUGUUAGCGGCGGACGGGUGAGUAACACGUGGCUAACCUACCUAUAAGACUGGGAUAACUUCGGGAAACCGGAGCUACUACCGGAUCAUAUUUUGAACCGCAUGGUUCAACAGUGAAAGCCGGUCUUGCUGUCCCUUCUAGAUGGAUCCCCCCUGCCUUAGCUAGUUCGUAAGGUAACGGCUUACCAAGGCAACGAUGCAUAGCCGACCUGCGAGGGGGGUCGUCUGCGUUGGAACCUAGACACGGUCCAGACUGCGACGGGAGGCAGCGGUACGGAACCCUCCGCAAUGGGCGAAUGCAUGACGGAGCAGCGCCGCGUGAGUAGUGGUGGUCUUCGGAUCGUAAAACUCUUUUAUGAGGGAAGAACAUAUGUGUAAGGACCUGUGCACAUCUUGACGGUACCUAAUCAGAAAGCCACCGCUAACUACGUG
rnacentral:rRNA from 1 species